rnacentral:rRNA from 1 species
UACGGAAGGCAGCAGUGGGGAAUAUUGCACAAUGGGCGCAAGCCUGAUGCAGCCAUGCCGCGUGUAUGAAAAGGCCUUCGGGUUGUAAAGUACUUUCAGUCGUGAGGAAGGUGUUAAGGUUAAUAACCUUAGCAAUUGACGUUAGCGACAGAAGAAGCACCGGCUAACUCCGUGCCAGCAGCCGCGGUAAUACGGAGGGUGCGAGCGUUAAUCGGAAUUACUGGGCGUAAAGGGCACGCAGGCGGUUAAUUAAGUUGGAUGUGAAAUCCCCGGGCUUAACCUGGGAAUGGCAUUCAAGACUGGUUAGCUAGAGUCUUGUAGAGGGGGUAGAAUUCCAUGUGUAGCGGUGAAAUGCGUAGAGAUGUGGAGGAUACCGGUGGCGAAGGCGGCCCCUGGACAAAGACUGACGCUCAUGUGCGAAAGCGUGGGGAGCAAAC